rnacentral:lncRNA from 1 species
UGAUCUCCACUGUCUGAUUCCGGCUUCCCAUGUUCUCACAGUAGACGAGGAGCCUGUUUUUCAGCUAGCUGCGGCAAGGGGGCUGGAAAUUUCUCCCUUCAGAGUGGACCUGGAAGGCUUGGAAGCAUCUGGAGAAGGGCGUGGCCACAAGUAGAGAAAUCGAGGCUACAGGCAGAAGUGGGAGGA